rnacentral:tRNA from 1 species
GCCCGACUGGGCGACGAUGCGCCCGCCCGCCUCCAGCGCCGGCAUCAGCCCCUGCGGGUUGAUCCGCCGGUACUCCUCCGCCGCCAGGCC